rnacentral:rRNA from 1 species
AGCAGUAGCCACGGUAAUACGUAGGUGGCAAGCGUUGUCCGGAAUUAUUGGGCGUAAAGGGCUCGCAGGCGGUUUCUUAAGUCUGAUGUGAAAGCCCCCGGCUCAACCGGGGAGGGUCAUUGGAAACUGGGAAACUUGAGUGCAGAAGAGGAGAGUGGAAUUCCACGUGUAGCGGUGAAAUGCGUAGAGAUGUGGAGGAACACCAGUGGCGAAGGCGACUCUCUGGUAUGUAACUGACGCUGAGGAGCGAAAGCGUGGGGAGCGAACAGGAUUAGAUACCCGCGUAGUCCCUGUCUCUUAUAC